UGCCAGCUGGCAGUCAUCAAGGGCAGCUGAGCCUCCUUAGGCUCAGAACCUUGAAGAGCAGCUCAGCUCAGCUCAGUCAAGGGACACUCUGCUUGCUGGAGAUCAGGGCAGGCUGCGCUAGAGAUGAAUAUUGUUUAUGGUACUGUGUAAGGAUUCCUGCUGCAGGAAGAAAACGUGGCUAGAAGUAGCAUUGUGGUUUGGUUUCUUUGGCUGUGCAAGACCUGAAGUCUCAGAGUGAGUAGUUCAACCUGGACUUCCUAGGAAACUUCUCUCCAGCUUAUGUAGGCUCAGACUCUGCCCUGUGUGGGAUUUUUCCUGGGAUGCUCACCAGAGACUAGUAGAAAGGAUUCCAUUUAAAUGUUCCUUCUACCUGAGCACCCCUCUAAACAUGCAGUGAUCCUCCUCCCAGCUGUGACCCAGCAUUGUUGGCAGCAGGGAUUUCACUGUUUCAUGCCUCUUACAAAAAGAGGCAGAGUGCCUAGUGAUUAGAGCACUGGACGGGGACCCAGGCAGACCUUGGCUAUGGACAGGAAACUGUGGGGGUGACAACUCAAUGAGGAAUGAAGUCCAGAUGACUGGUCUUGCUUCAUAUGUUCCCUGCUGGGUGUGAAGAAAUGGCGUUCCAGAGGUCCCGUAGAUACUAGCCAACUCUUAGUAAAUAUUCCCCCUCCCUGGCUGAGGAUGCCUGCUACAAUGGCAGAUGAUUAUUGUGGUUAUCAAUACCAUUAGCAUGUGUUUCUCUGCCCUAUAUGGUAUCCUCUCUCUCAACCGUUCCACUUUUUCUUAUGCAAUCAUUUACAUGGGUAGAUUUCUCUGUCAGAUACAUACUUAUUAUUUCUGUUACUUUCUUUUAAUGUCAUCUUGUCUUUUCCCAAUUUCUAAUACUGUGGAGCCAAUUUCUGAUUCACGUAAAAUGUCCUCCUACUAUUUUGUAAAUGUAAGAAUUACAGCCGUGAUGGCUCUGUGAAAGUUAAAGAAAGCUGAGACUGGAUUAUAUGUUUCCGGGUGCUGAAGGAGAAUGAAUUAUAAAACUGGAUAUUAAAGUUCCAUCCAUCCAUCAGCUCGCCCAGGUCUGUGCAUUAGCCUACAUAGAGAGGACAUGGGGACUUGCCACAGAACUAUAGACCAGUCACUAAAGAGUGCAAAUGAAGGACAACAGUGGGCUCAGGGAUAGCCCCCAGGUUUAGAAAUGUGUUCUACUUAAGAGAUGUGGAGUUGCCUGAAGAUAACUAGGAGAUAGAUAACAGCCAUCAGGAAGUAUUGGUGGUCAUAACAUGUUUGUAAACCUGCAUGCUUGAUAAGAGCCAUUUCUGAAAUUUUUUACAAUGUACUGUGGGCUCAUGGAAGAAAUGAGGUAGUGCUUGUUCCUAUAACAUUCAGCAACACUAAAUCCAAGCCUGAGACAUAGUACCAGAGGGAAGGAUUGGCGAUUGUUGCAGAGCUAAACUUUAAUCUCAUGAAAUUAAGAGGAACAAAAGGUCAGCUAAAACACAAGGAUGCAGACUAAACUGAGGACAUAGAAGCAGACAGAAAACAGGCUUAAAAGGAGCCAUGCUCCUCAGCUGCAGUCAUGUUUGAAUGAACACUGCACACACAAUCAUGCCACAGAACUGAGGAAAAGGUUGUAGUGGACAGAUGUGCUCAAUAAGAAUUGUUCAGCCCAGUCCUGAUAUACAGGGAUAUCAUGUUACUAAGUGAUGAAGCUUGACAGAGAGAGGGAGUUUACAGACAGUGGUUU